GACGAACCGUGCUAACGUUAUUCGGAAUCACUGGGCUUAAAGGGCGCGUAGGCGGGCAGGCAAGUCGAAGGUGAAAUCCCACGGCUCAACCGUGGAAGCGCCCCCGAUACCGCCUGUCUGGAGGGAGAUAGGGGCGUGCGGAACUUCCGGUGGAGCGGUGAAAUGCGUAGAUAUCGGAAGGAACACCGGUGGCGAAAGCGGCGCGCUGGAUCUCUUCUGACGCUGAGGCGCGAAAGCCAGGGGAGCGAACGGG
rnacentral:rRNA from 1 species